rnacentral:rRNA from 1 species
AUUGAACGCUAGCGGCAGGCCUAACACAUGCAAGUCGAAUGGUAACAGGAAACAGCUUGCUGUUUCGCUGACGAGUGGCGGACGGGUGAGUAAUGUCUGGGAAACUGCCUGAUGGAGGGGGAUAACUACUGGAAACGGUAGCUAAUACCGCAUAACGUCGCAAGACCAAAGAGGGGGACCUUCGGGCCUCUUGCCAUCAGAUGUGCCCAGAUGGGAUUAGCUAGUAGGUGGGGUAACGGCUCACCUAGGCGACGAUCCCUAGCUGGUCUGAGAGGAUGACCAGCCACACUGGAACUGAGACACGGUCCAGACUCCUACGGGAGGCAGCAGUGGGGAAUAUUGCACAAUGGGCGCAAGCCUGAUGCAGCCAUGCCGCGUGUAUGAAGAAGGCCUUCGGGUUGUAAAGUACUUUCAGCGGGGAGGAAGGGAGUAAAGUUAAUACCUUUGCUCAUUGACGUUACCCGCAGAAGAAGCACCGGCUAACUCCGUG